AUGGUCGCGCUCGCCUCCCUCUCUUCUCUGUGCCUCUGCGGCUCCGCUCGCCGCCGUUCUGCCUCCGCACCCACCUCCAUAUCAUGCUGUGUGCUCGCAACUCCCUCCGGCAGAGGGUCUCAUGAAUCUAGAAUACCCCGUAGAAGGUUCCGGAGAACCGAGGGUGCUACUAAGAGCAUGGAAGAUUCAGUCAAGCGAAAGAUGGAGCAGUUCUACGAAGGGGUGGAUGGUCCGCCCCUCCGGGUCCUCCCAAUCGGCGGCCUUGGGGAAAUCGCUACGACGAGUUUGGUGUGCAAAAGAUUAUUCCCGACACAACUUUCAUCAAGAAAUGGAGCCACAAAAUUGAAGCAGUUAUUAUUACACAUGGCCAUGAAGAUCACAUCGGUUAUUCCUGCACUGGAUUCGACCACACCUAUUUUUGCGUCAUCUUUUACGAUGGAGCUCAUAAAGAAGCGUUUGAAGGAGUUUGGGAUUUUUCUCUCAUCCAGGCUAAAGAGUUUUAGAGUUAGAAAUAGGUUUCAGGCUGGUCCAUUUGAAGUGGAACCUAUCCGUGUAACUCAUUCAAUUCCUGACUGCUGUGGAUUAGUGCUUCGUUGUGGUGAUGGCACAAUUUUCCAUACUGGUGACUGGAAAAUUGAUGAAUCACCAGUGGAUGGGAGAAUAUUCGACCGAGAAGCAUUGGAGGAGCUCUCGAAAGAAGGUGUUACUCUGAUGAUGAGCGACUCAACAAAUAUUCUGUCCCCUGGAAGAUCCACCAGUGAAUCUGUUGUCGCUAGUUCAUUGUUGCGUCAUGUUUCAGAAGCAAAAGGGAGAAGAGUAAUUACAACACAAUUUGCUUCAAAUAUACAUCGCAUUGGGAGCAUCAAAGCUGCUGCAGACUUAACUGGUCGAAGGCUGGUCUUUGUUGGAAUGUCACUGCGGACGUACCUUGAGGCUGCUUUUAGGGAUGGAAAGGCACCACUGGAUCCAUCAACCUUGGUUAAGGCAGAGGACAUGGAUGCAUAUGACCCUAAAAAUCUUUUAGUCGUUACUACAGGUUCACAGGCAGAGCCACGUGCGGCUCUGAAUCUCGCAUCUUAUGGUGGGAGCCAUGCUCUUAAACUAUCCAAAGAGGACGUCCUUCUUUAUUCAGCUAAGGUUAUCCCUGGAAACGAGUCCCGGGUAAUGAAGAUGUUAAAUCGCCUCACCGACCUUGGCCCCAAAAUUGUUAUGGGUAAAGAUGCUGGCCUCCAUACAUCUGGGCAUGCUUAUCACGAUGAACUGGAGGAAGUUCUACAGAUUGUUAAACCGCAGCAUUUCUUGCCUGUUCAUGGGGAACUCUUGUUUCUCAAAGAACAUGAAUUGCUAGGAAGGUCAACUGGCAUAAAGCACACUACUGUAAUUAAAAAUGGGGAGAUGCUUGGUGUAUCUCAUCUAAGAAACAGAAAGGUUUUGUCAAAUGGGUUUGUUUCUUUAGGGAAGCAGGACUUUAAGUUAAUGUAUACUGACGGAGACAAAGCUUUUGGAACGUCCACUGAUCUCUGCAUCGAUGAGAGAUUCAGGAUCGCAUCUGAUGGCAUUAUCUUUGUCAGCAUGGAGAUCUUCCGACCUAAACCUGCUUCACCACAGUCUGGCUUGAAAGGGAAAUUUAAAAUAACAACACGGUGUCUAUGGCUUGAUAAUGGGAGACUACUUGAUGCACUUUACAAGGCUGCGCAUGCAGCAUUGUCAAGCUGUCCUUUGAAUUGCCCACUUAGUCACAUGGAGCGAAUGGUAUCUGAAAUCUUGAGGAAAAUGGUCAGAAAGUACAGUGGAAAGAGACCUGACGUCAUUGUAGUUGCUUCAGAGAACACUACAGUAGGUUUCUCAGAAGAGGUAAUAAAUAGGCAUAUGAGUCUUGUAGACUAUGAGAAAACACGGCCAGAGAACCCAGAGCGUGAGGCUGAAGAGAGCAUCCCUGAGGUCAUGAGAACAACACCUGACGAUGCAACGACUAGCUCCAAUGGUGAAUCAUUCUUCUCUCCUGAUUUACAUCAGCCUAAAACAUUGGAUCAUUUUUGGGAGUCGUUCAAGUCCCCUACAGCAGUAAAAAUUGCAAGAAUUGUCAAUGCUUCAGCUCAAGGGAACAAACCAAAGCUCGGCAAGAUCAGCAUAAUUGAUAAGGAUUCCAGCACGUCAGCUCCUGCUCCAGCCAAAUCUUCAAGAAAGAACAAGUGGAAGCCCGAGGAAAUUAAGAGCUUAAUACAGCUGCGUGGAGAAAUGAAUGAGAAAUUCCAAACCGUCAAAGGAAGAAUGGUUAUGUGGGAAGAGAUAUCUGGUAGCCUGUUGAAGCAGGGGAUAACUCGUACACCAGCACAGUGCAAAUCUGUGUGGACAUCAUUGCUUCAGAAAUACGAGGAGAGCAAGAAGGAUGAAGAAAACAUGCGGACAUGGCAAUAUUUUUCGGCCAUGGAUAGUUUUUUAUCAUGCGAAGGGGAAAUGGCAACCAAAUGA
rnacentral:rRNA from 1 species